UACGGAGGGUGCGAGCGUUGUCCGGAAUCAUUGGGCGUAAAGGGCGCGUAGGUGGCCCGGUCAGUCGGUGGUGAAAGCGCGGGGCUCAACUCCGCGUCGGCCGUCGAUACUGCGGGGCUGGAGCACUGUAGAGGCAGGCGGAAUUCCGGGUGUAGCGGUGGAAUGCGUAGAGAUCCGGAAGAACACCGGUGGCGAAGGCGGCCCUCUGGACCAGUACUGACGCUGAGGCACGAAAGCGUGGGGAGCAAACAGGG
rnacentral:rRNA from 1 species